rnacentral:lncRNA from 1 species
CUUUGGAGGCUAUAAAUACCUCUACUCUCUUCUCAUUUUGCAUCACCAAGAAAUAAUCCAAGUUUGUAACAAGUAAUAAAAUCCUCUUCUAAGUUAUAUAAUCUUUCUUCUUCACAAAACUUCUUUCUCUUCAAACACUUAAACACUUUCUCCAUCUUUAUAAAGUUUUUCAUUCCAACAAAGUGGUAUCAGAGCUACAAGCUCCUUUUGAAGAUGGCAAACAAUGGUGUUCCCUUCCAAGUUCCAUUGCUCACUAAGAGCAACUAUGACAAUUGGAGUCUUAGGAUGAUGGCUAUCUUAGGAGCACAUGAUGUGUGGGAGAUAGUCGAGAAAGGCUUCGUUGAACUGGAGAAUGAUGGUGGUUUAUCUCAAACACAAAAGGAUGGUUUGAGAGAUUCAAGGAAGAGAGACAAGAAGGCUCUCUGUCUAAUCUAUCAAGGAUUAGAUGAAGAUACAUUUGAGAAGGUUACUGGAGCAAAGACAUCCAAGGAAGCAUGGGAGAAGCUUCAGACAUCUUACAAGGGCGCGGAACAAGUUAAGAAGGUACGUCUUCAAACUCUAAGAGGAGAAUUUGAAGCAUUACAAAUGAAGGAAGGAGAACUCAUCUCAGAUUACUUCUCAAGAGUCAUGACGGUUACUAAUAACCUAAAAAGAAAUGGUGAGAAGUUAGAUGAGGUGAGAAUCAUGGAGAAAGUUCUUAGAUCAUUGGAUUCAAAAUUCGAGCAUAUCGUCACCGUUAUUGAAGAGACAAAAGACUUGGAGACUAUGACGAUGGAGCAACUUCUUGGAUCACUACAAGCUUAUGAAGAAAAGAAGAAGAAAAAAGAAGAUAUCGUGGAGCAAGUUCUCAAGAUGAGAAUUGAUCACAAGGAAGAAAGUGGCCGAAAUCAUCCGAGACGUGGUGGUGGUCAUUUUCGAGGACGAGGUUGUGGUGUAAAUGGACGAGGUUGGAGACCAUAUGAAGACAACUUCAACCAAAGAGGAGAGAAUUCAUCAAGAGGUCGUGGAAGAGGAAACCCAAAAUCAAGGUACGAUAAAUCAAGCAUCAAAUGCUAUAGUUGCGGAAAGUUUGGACAUUAUGCUUCUGAAUGUAAAACUCCAAACAACAAUAGAGUUGAAGAGAAGUCCAACUAUGUUGAAGAACGGCGUAAGGAAGAAGAUAUGCUGUUGAUGGCUUACAAGAAGGAUGAACCAAAUGAGGUUCACAAGUGGUACCUUGAUAGUGGUGCAAGCAACCACAUGUGUGGAAAUAAAAGCAUGUUCGUGGAGCUUGAUGAAUCGGUGAAAACUGAUGUGGCUUUAGGAGAUGAAUCAAAGAUGGAAGUGAAAGGUAAAGGAAAUAUUCUCAUCCGCUUGAAGAAUGGAGAUCAUCAAUUCAUUUCCAACAUUUACUACAUUCCAAGCAUGAAGACCAACAUCUUGAGCCUAUGACAACUCUUAGAGAAAGGUUAUGACAUUCGACUAAAAGAUAAUAGUCUUUCUUUAAGAGAUAAUGCAAAUAAUCUCAUCACAAAGGUGCCAAUGUCAAGCAAUAGAAUGUUUGUCCUAAACAUUCAAAAUGACAUUGCACGAUGUCUCAAGAUGUGCUACAAGGAGGAAUCUUGGCUUUGGCAUCUUCGAUUUGGGCAUCUCAACUUUGGAGGCUUAGAGCUACUUUCCAAGAAAGAAAUGGAGAAAGGAUUACCUUGCAUCAAUCAUCCAAAUCAAGUGUGUGAAGGUUGCUUACUUGGAAAGCAAUUCAAGAUGAGUUUUCCAAAGGAGUCGGAGACAAGAGCAAGAAAGCCACUAGAACUCAUACAUACAGAUGUAUGUGGCCCAAUCAAACCAAGUUCACUUGGUAAGAGUAACUAUUUCCUUCUCUUUAUUGAUGACUUUUCAAGAAAAACUUGGAUUUACUUUUUGAAACAAAAAUCAGAAGUGUUUGAAAAUUUUAAAAAGUUCAAAGCCCAUGUUGAGAAGGAAAGUGGUCUUAAGAUCAAGUCCAUAAGAUCAGAUCGAGGAGGAGAAUUCAUGUCCAAGGAGUUUCUGAAGUAUUGUGAAGAUAAUGGCAUUCGAAGACAGUUGACAGUGCCAAGAACCCCUCAACAAAAUGGAGUACCGGAAAGAAAGAAUAGGACAAUACUUGAGAUGGCAAGAAGCAUGCUCAAGAGUAAGAAGCUACCAAAGGAGUUGUGGGCAGAAGCAGUUGCUUGUGCGGUUUAUCUAUCAAACCGUUCUCCAACAAAGAGUGUUUUAGAAAAGACACCACAAGAAGCUUGGAGCGGAAGGAAGCCUGGAGUCUCACACCUAAGAGUCUUUGGAAGCAUUGCUCACGCUCAUGUUCCAGACGAGAAGCGGAGCAAACUAGAUGAUAAAAGUGAGAAGUACAUCUUCAUUGGGUAUGACGCUAACUCCAAAGGCUACAAGCUCUACAAUCCUGAAACAAAGAAGACAAUCAUUAGUCGGAAUGUCAUCUUUGAUGAAGAAGGAGAAUGGGAUUGGAGAUCAAAUAAUGAAGACUACAACUUCUUUCCAUCCUUUGAAGAAGAGAAUGUGGAUCAACCGAGAGAAGAGCCAUCUACACCACCAACUUCACCAACAACAAGUUCUCAAGGAGAUGAAAGCUCAAGUGAAAGGACUCCACGUUUUAGAAGUCUACAAGACAUCUACGAGGUAACCGAAAAUCAAGACAAUCUUACUCUAUUUUGUCUAUUUGCGGAUUGCGAGCCUAUGAACUUUGAAGAAGCCCAAGAAAAGAAGUCAUGGAGAAGUGCAAUGGAUGAGGAAAUCAAGUCGAUUCAAAAGAAUGAUACAUGGGAGUUAGCUUCACUUCCAAAUGGACACAAGGCAAUUGGUGUGAAGUGGGUGUACAAGGCAAAGAAGAACUCUAAAGGAAAAGUUGAAAGGUACAAGGCAAGAUUGGUGGCAAAAGGCUAUAGUCAAAGAGCCGGGAUCGACUAUGAUGAGGUAUUUGCUCCAGUUGCUCGCUUAGAAACGGUUAGACUAAUCAUUUCAUUGGCAGCCCAAAAGAGUUGGAGGAUACAUCAAAUGGAUGUCAAAUCAGCCUUCUUAAGUGGAGAUCUUGAGGAAGAAGUCUACAUUGAGCAACCACAAGGCUACAUAGUUAAAGGAGAAGAAGACAAAGUCUUAAGGCUGAAGAAGGCGCUUUAUGGAUUAAAGCAAGCACCAAGAGCAUGGAACACUCGGAUUGAUAAGUACUUCAAGGAGAAAGGCUUCAUCAAGUGUCCAUAUGAGCAUGCACUUUAUAUCAAAACUCAAAACAAUGGUAUAUUGAUUGCAUGCUUAUAUGUUGAUGACUUGAUAUUCACUGGCAACAAUCCGAUUAUGUUUGAAGAUUUCAAGAUGGAGAUGACAAAGGAGUUCGAGAUGACCGACAUUGGAUUGAUGUCAUACUACCUUGGCAUUGAAGUAAAGCAAGAAGAAAAUGGAAUCUUGAUUACUCAAGAAGGAUAUGCUAAAGAGGUGCUUAAGAAGUUCAAGAUGGAUGACUCAAAUCCAGUUUCCACGCCAAUGGAAUGUGGAGUCAAGUUAUCAAAGGAAGAAGAAGGAGAGAGUGUGGAUCCAACACUCUUUAAGAGUUUGGUUGGAAGCUUACGAUAUCUAACGUGCACAAGGCCCGACAUCCUACACGCAGUUGGAGUUGUGAGUCGAUACAUGGAGCAUCCAACAAUAACUCAUUUCAAGGCAACCAAGAGGAUCCUACGCUAUAUCAAAGGUACAAUCAACUUUGGCUUGUAUUACUCUAUUUCUGACGAUUACAAGCUUGUUGGAUAUAGCGAUAGCGAUUGGGGUGGAGAUGUAGAUGAUCGGAAAAUCACAAGUGGCUUCGUGUUUUUCAUUGGAGAAACCGCUUUCACAUGGAUGUCAAAGAAGCAACAGAUUGUCACCCUUUCUACUUGUGAAGCGGAGUAUGUGACAACUACUUCAUGUGUUUGCCAUGCUAUUUGGUUACGAAACUUGCUAAAGGAGUUGAACCUACCACAAGAGGAGCCAACAAAGAUCUUUGUGGAUAACAGGUCGGCAAUAGCAUUGGCGAAGAAUCCAGUCUUCCAUGAUCGGAGUAAGCACAUCGAUACUCGUUAUCACUACAUAAGAGAAUGUGUUACCAAGAUGGAUGUGCAAUUGGAGUAUGUGAAGACAAAUGAUCAAGUAGCUGAUAUCUUCACUAAGCCACUCAAGCGAGAAGACUUUAUCAAGAUGAGGAGCUUACUCGAAGUAACCAAAUCAAGUUUAAGAGGGGGUGUUGAAAAAUAAACUUGAUUUGGAUCAAACAUUAUUGGGUUAAUCAUGUGUUGAUCUAAAACUUAGCCCAAAUUCUAGAAAAAUCAUCCACCUCCUUAAAAUAAAAUUCUAGAUAUUCUUAUAGAAUUAUCUAGAUAAUUAAGAUAAAAUAAUCUAGAUUUUUAAGUAGAAUUCUCUAGAUUUAAGAUUAAAAUAUGUAAGAUAUUUUGUACUUUGGAGGCUAUAAAUACCUCCACUCUCUUCUCAUUUUGCAUCACCAAGAAAUAAUCCAAGUUUGUAACAAAUAAUAAAAUCCUCUUCUAAGUUAUAUAAUCUUUCUUCUUCACAAAACUUCUUUCUCUUCAAAGACUUAAACACUUUUUCCAUCUUUAUAAAGUUUUUCAUUCCAACAGAUUUGAUUUAUCAAAAGAUUAUUCAUUAUGGAAACAAACUAAUGAAAUCUGAAAUAACACUUUUCAAGACUUGGAGUUAAAUGUGAUUUUAUCAUCAGUAAAUGUAACACUUUUGAGAUUGU